UGGGGAAUAUUGCACAAUGGGCGAAAGCCUGAUGCAGCAACGCCGCGUGAGGGACGACGGCCUUCGGGUUGUAAACCUCUUUUAGCAAGGAAGAAGCGAAAGUGACGGUACUUGCAGAAAAAGCGCCGGCUAACUACGUGCCAGCAGCCGCGGUAAUACGUAGGGCGCAAGCGUUAUCCGGAAUUAUUGGGCGUAAAGAGCUCGUAGGCGGUUUGUCGCGUCUGCUGUGAAAACCCGAGGCUCAACCUCGGGCCUGCAGUGGGUACGGGCAGACUAGAGUGCGGUAGGGGAGAUUGGAACUCCUGGUGUAGCGGUGGAAUGCGCAGAUAUCAGGAAGAACACCGAUGGCGAAGGCAGAUCUCUGGGCCGUAACUGACGCUGAGGAGCGAAAGGGUGGGGAGCAAACAGGCUUAGAUACCCUGGUAGUCCACCCCGUAAACGUUGGGAACUAGUUGUGGGGUCCAUUCCACGGAUUCCGUGACGCAGCUAACGCAUUAAGUUCCCCGCCUGGGGAGUAC
rnacentral:rRNA from 1 species